rnacentral:rRNA from 1 species
UACAGAGGUCCCAAGCGUUGUUCGGAUUCACUGGGCGUAAAGCGCGCGUAGGCGGACCUGCAAGUCGGGUGUGAAAGCCCCGGGCUCAACCUGGGAAUUGCAUUCGAGACUGCGUAGCUAGGGUGCGGAAGAGGGAAGCGGAAUUUCCGGUGUAGCGGUGAAAUGCGUAGAUAUCGGAAGGAACACCAGUGGCGAAAGCGGCUUCCUGGUCCAGCACCGACGUUCAGGCACGAAAGCGUGGGGAGCAAACAGG